rnacentral:misc_RNA from 1 species
UUACCCUUAAGCUCUGCUUAGUGUUGGGUGUUUGUCCCGCUUCGCGCGUGGACUCGCCUUAAAGCCAUUGGCAGCCGGCAUAUUGUCUCGGAGCGAAGCACAUUUUGCGCUUCUGACAUGAAUGUUGGUAUCCAGUAAGCCUUUACAUUUGC